UUUCCGUAGGUGAACCUGCGGAAGGAUCAUUCAUAAUAAGUGUUUUAUGGCACUUUUUUAAAUCCAUAUCCACCUUGUGUGCAAUGUCAGGGUUGAUUUUUCUCUCGAGAGGAUCAACCCCAAACAUCAACUAUAUCUCAACUCUUUGUCUGAAAUAUAUUAUGAAUAAAACAAUUCAAAAUACAACUUUCAACAACGGAUCUCUUGGCUCUC
rnacentral:misc_RNA from 1 species